rnacentral:rRNA from 1 species
CAGUCGCCGCGGUAAUACGAGGGGGGCAAGCGUUGUUCGGAAUUAUUGGGCGUAAAGGGUGCGUAGGCGGUUUGAUAAGUCAUCUGUGAAAUCUCUGGGCUCAACCCAGAGUCUGCAGGCGAAACUGUCGGGCUUGAGUAUGGGAGAGGUGAGUGGAAUUUCCGGUGUAGCGGUGAAAUGCGUAGAUAUCGGAAGGAACGCCUGUGGCGAAAGCGGCUCACUGGACCAUAACUGACGCUGAUGCACGAAAGCUAGGGGAGCAAACAGGAUUAGAUACCCGAGUAGUCCCUGUCUCUUAUAC